UUUCAACUUUAAUGCGACAUGUAAUUUUGCUUAGGGCCCCAGGGAGGUCAGGAUCGGCACCUAACCUCUCUGAUCUGCAGCUUCCUCCACAAAUCAUUGGAGUCAGCAAGUAUCGCCCCCCCCCUCAUAUGGAUAGGAACACAUUUCGGGGCCUUGCCCCACUAUCAGCUUAGCAACCAGAUCCCAUGCUGAGUCUUACAUUUCAUACAUUUAGAACUUACAGCCAAGGAUAUAACAACUCUAAGCAAACAAUACAUAAUUUGAAUAUCGAUACAAUUAAAUACAGUUAAUAAUUUUGUUGGGAUUUCAUGAAUGAUAAAUAAUAAUUCUGUUUGUUUUUUAAAAUGACUUAUUUUUCUCUGUUGACUAAUGGGGUUGCUAUACUGUAUGUACAUAUGUAUAAAGAAGUAUAAAUAUGCCAUAUAAAGUGAUUUAUAUAUUCAGCUAAUUUACUAAGUUCCUAACUUACAGCCAAGGUUAUAACAACUGAAAGCAAAGUUAUACAAUACAAAUAAAAUAAUUGGAAAAUCAAUACAAUUAAAUGUAAAUAAUCUGUUGAGAUUUCAUAAAUGCCUGGCAUUUAAAACUAUUUUUUUUAAUGUUUGAUAUAUUGGUCUGUAUUUUUGGUCUUAGCUAAUCUAUUGUUUUCUAUUUUAAAUUCUUCAUUUAGCCAAGGUUAUAGCAACAAAUUUAAGCAAGAUUAUAAAAUAAAAUCAUUAGAAUAUCAGUACAGGUAAAUACAGGUAAAUACAAAUAAUUUGUUGGGAUUUCAUAAAUGGCAAAUAAUACUUAUGUCUGGUAUUUAAAAUUCAUAAUUUUUCAAUGUUGUCUAAUAAACUGGUCUAUAUUUUUGGUCUUG